UCAGGGGUGGGUUCAUGGACUAUACUUUUCAACAUCUUUAUUAACAAUUUGGAUGUGGGGGUGAAGAGCUUACAGGCCAAGUCUGCAGACGACACCAACCUCUGGGGAAGCAUAGUCAUGC